rnacentral:lncRNA from 1 species
AUGCAAAAUCUGAUGAAGGUAUUUUUCUUGGUUACUCAUCUCGUAGUAAAGCGUAUAGAGUAUUUAAUAAUCGUACUGAAACUGUCGAGGAGACCCCCUCAUAUUGUAUUUUGUGAAAGUGAUGCUCGCUUGGCGAGAAAGGAAUUUUGUGAUGAUCUUGCAGAAUCUUUAAGCAAGAUGAAUAUUCAAGACAAGGAGCAAACGGAAAAUUCAAAGGAGAUUUAAGAUGAACCCAUGGAACAACCGCAAGAGGAGACACAAUCACAAGAAUCGAUGAUGCCUAAGG